UACAGAGGUCUCAAGCGUUGUUCGGAUUCAUUGGGCGUAAAGGGUGCGUAGGCGGCGCGGUAAGUCGGAUGUGAAAUCUCGGGGCGUAACUCCGAAACUGCAUUCGAUACUGCCGUGCUUGAGGACUGGAGAGGAGACUGGAAUUUACGGUGUAGCGGUGAAAUGCGUAGAUAUCGUAAGGAAGACCAGUGGCGAAGGCGGGUCUCUGGACAGUUCCUGACGCUGAGGCACGAAGGCCAGGGGAGCAAACGGG
rnacentral:rRNA from 1 species